AGUUGAUUAGCUGGGUCAAAUGGUGCUUCCAUUCCUAAUUUUUUGAGAAAUCUUCAAACUGUUUUCCAGAGUAGUUGCACCAAUUUUCAGUCCCUUCAGCAAU
rnacentral:pre_miRNA from 1 species